rnacentral:lncRNA from 1 species
UUUUUUUUUUUUCAAAAAAAAAUUGGGAGGAGUGGAAUAAAACAAGGCUAAAUUUCAGCAAAUGCUGUACCACGAUCACAGGUCAGACAAAACCGAAAACCAAAACAAAAUCAAACCAAGACAACAACAAAACCCAAUGGUCCUAGCGACUUCAGAAGACCAGCUUCAAUGCUAAGAGUCCAGCACUGACAGAAGAGUUAAAGGUUGCUUGCCACUACAUGGUCAUUUUAAAGGGAAAGGAGAUGCUGCAGGAAGGCAGGGAGAAGGGCUCAACUCCUAAGAAAAGCAAGAUUAAGAGGGGCUUCUACUGUACAGGAAAAGGGAUGUCAGCAUAACCCUUACCUAGGGCUGUUCAGAGGCUGAGGGUAUAAGGAACAGUGAAAAGCUACAGACAACUAGCAUCGAGGAAAGAAAAGUCAACUUAGAAGAAUUAAAUUAAGAAAGAAAACAUAGUUGGUCACAAAUUCCUUUGUUUACUGAAACAUGAAGCAAUGGAAACAUCCUGGCAAAGGGGACCGCGAGGACCAAGUUCUCAUAUAUGACCGCAGCCCGAGGGUUCAGUCCGCAAUUAUCCUACCUGAAAGAAAGCAGAACACAAGAGGCUUACACAAUGCCUGGAGUGCAGUCUGGUUCCGAGUACAAGGGCCCUGGUCCCGUCCUGUAUGCCAAUGGGGGGAGGGGGUGACACAAAGAACAAAACAAAAUCAAGUCAGGUUUUGGGUUGAAUGUAUAUCCCACAAAGUCACCCCAAAUUCUAAUAGGUACAGCUAGGAACCUACUUAAGCUAAAUGCUGCUCAAGAUACAAAACUGCUGAUAGUAUAAACCCGCAAGCCCACCAUUUUCCUAUCUUUUAACUCAGGUAACCCCUCUAUAGUAGAAAGCUUCAAGGAAGGUAUAAAUCUUCAAUAGCUACAGAUUAAUUUGGGGGUCCAGAAAAAAAGCAAAAGAUGGCUAAGAUAUCAGAUUAACAGUCACUUUCUUUCUUUUAAGAGUUGGGAUCUAAGUAUGUUGCCCAGUAUGAGCAUAAACAUCUGUUCUGAGUAGCUGGGACUACAGGUGUCCACCACCCAUGCAUGCCCAGCCCAAUUUUACUAUUACAGAUGUUCCAAAGAAAACAUUCAAAAAGCAUAGUCACCAAGAAUACUGUUAAAGAACAGUUGGUCAUUUACCCUUUAAGGUAUCUAUCUGCAUGUUAUACAGUCAGGUCAGAGCCACAGUUGCAGUAGUUUCCUAAUUGACCAAAUAACCCCUGACAAAUCAAAAGAAACUACUGCUAGGACUGUAAUUCCUCCAUUGAUGGUGGGAACUCCAGACACCAAUGGCAGGGGGAAAAAAAAAAUUAACUCACACCAAGCUCCUCUACUUAAUACAGACACAGGGCCAAAUCUUGGUCUUGAUCUGUGCCAAUCGACUUCAAAAGCUGUGAUGUUCUUGGAUCAGUUCUGUUAGGGUGAGACCCGAAUUUGGAUCCCCAACAGUUGUGGAGUAUUUCAUCCUGGCAGCCUCAUUAACAUCAGGCUCCUGGGACUGCAACCAACUCAGGGUUAUUCAGUCCAUUUGAGGUUCACACCUGGAAGGUAAGUUUCUUUAAAAGUCAUCACUAAAAAGAGGUUAGUUGAGCACCUACUGACUGACGUUUAAAUUCACUUUUAAAAUGUCCUAAAAACACCCUUAAAGGCUAUAAUAUACUAACUUAAACAUGUUUAGCUUUUAUACUUGAGAGAAAAAAGUUAUCUAACAGAUUUAUGCUAACUUUAUCAGAGGUAUCUCACAAAGUAGACCCAGGUGUAAAAUUAGCAAACUCCAUUCACAUGUUGAACACAUGGCUGAAUGAUGGUUCUAAGAAAUCCCAAGUCUCAAUGACACAAGUGUAUAGCAUAUAAACUUAACAACAUGCAUGCCAUUCUUUUCUCAAUACAUAUAUGGAUGCAGGGGAUAAGUUGAGAACAUUGAAGUGUCAGUGGUAACCACACUGUUGGGGCUUUAACUCAAGUGAUGCUCGAUUUCAGUGUACAAGGAAAACCAUGAGAGAAUUGUAAAUUACAAAUGCCAUUUCCAUUCUAGUAAAAUUUACUUUACUAGUCUCUGGAUAUCUCCAAUUCUUGCCAUUCCAGUACUGUACACAUUUCUUGAAAUAGGGAAACACUGAAUUUCCUGUGUCACCAUCUAUAAGAUUUUGGCACAUCAGAAAUUGUUUUAUCUAAUUCCUUUGAAUGUUCCCUUAUAACACAAAACUAUCUCAGAGAAACAAGAAUUUUAUCAUAGGCUAUGAAGAAAUAGGGUGUAAGUGCCUAUAUCAAACAGAUGGAUGCUUUGGGCUAAAAUAAGGACUUCAUAGAAUACAAACAUGAAAACAUGCAAUACGGAAGUGUCUUGGAAUAUUAGGGCUUUAUCUGAUGCACAAAGUAGCACACUUUUCCUUUGAUAAAGGCUAAUAAAUAGUUGGGUUUUGUUGUCUGUAACAUGGGGGUAUUGCUAUAUUUCCUAGAUUUUACUAGAACUUGCUGUGUAGCCUAGGUUUUUCUCUAACUCAUCAUAGUCCUCCCACCUCAUUUUCUCUGGUACUGAGAGAGACUAAGGUAUGUGCUACUCUAAGAAGUAUUAGCAAACUGGAAACCCAAGAAGUUAGUUAAAACUCACUGUGCUGUCCAUUACUAGCUCCCAAAUGGUACCCUUCACCUUAACCAUCACAGCAGUGUAGUAGUGAAGAGUAUGCUUUUAUUUUGGUUUUUAAAGACAGGGUUUCUCUGUGUAGCCCUGGCUGUCGUGGAACUUUGUAUAUCAGGCUAGCCUUACUCAGCUCUACCUACCUGCCUGUGUCCCAAGUGCUAGGAUUUGGGUGUGUGCCACCACCUACUGGCCAGAAUUUAAGAGUCAGCUGAGUGAAUUUUGGCUCUAUCAUGAGAUAAUCAUAGGCAAAGUACUGAUGCUCUCUGAGUCUUAGUUUUCCUGGAUGAGAAUGUAACUACACAAACAAAGGGCCAGCAUGUUAGCUCUCCCUGCCUUUUUUUUCUUCAUACCAAGUAUCUUUUUACAACUGGUUAAAUAAUAUUUUUACUGAGCAUGUUCAUGUUUCAGAAGAAACACAUUGGAAUCACACUAACUCAUCAACAGGCCAAGUAAACCUGUGGCAUAAACUUAUAGAAAAUACUCAAAACAUGUAAUUUUUGCUUUUUGAUAAGGUCCUGUUUGGUGAUUUGGCUCCUCAGUGAAGCAGAGGUCUCUUGUAGGGAACUAAGUGCAAAUUUCAACCACAUCCUCCCCACUCUCACCUCCAGUUUUUAAAAGGCUGAGUACCGUGUUCGGUCCACAUACUGCUCCCGCUCAUACCGGGCCAUGUCAUACAGAGAAUUCCGAGUUGCUGCUGAAGCCUGAGACAUCUCGCUCUCUGGCCCAUAACCAUAGCCCUCUCCAACUGCGGGAAGCACAGCCGCAUUCCGACGUAGUGGGCUCCUGUCCCUUCCAUAAUAGGAAGAGGAAGCGGCAGCAGCCAUUGCAGCUGAGGUGGCAGCAGAGCCAGAGUUCUGCAAUAGGUGUCUGUCAUAAGGAUCAACAGAAGUGGAGUUGAGGUGACUGGGUACAGCUGAGCUCUGAACUUGAGGAAGAUGAGACAUGGUCUGCUCUGCGUAAUUGUAUGCGGAAGCUGCAGCCGCCGCCGCCACAGCUUCGUAAGAUCGGACGCGGUAGCGCUUAUAGUAGUCAAGUGCUCCAUAGGCAUCGUUGUAAUACAUGGACUCCCCAUAACCCAUAGUAUAAGGUGUGCGCACUGCUCCAUAUUGUUCAUUGUACUGCUCAGUAAAGUCUGCCACACGCCCUGUACGGUCUACUGGGCACUCUUUGGACCAAUGUCCUUCUUUACCACACCGAUAGCAACCACUCUGGUCUCCCAUCCCAGGGGCAGUCCGAAGCCGGCUAGUUGACAACUGUACAUGCAUUCGUUUGCCUUGAGGAAACAGAUUAAAAUUAUUACUCAUUAACACUCUUUUCACUCAAAUAAAAGUAAACGUAAAAUAUAUGGACAUACACGCUCCUGGGCCCCUUCAUUCAGCAAUCCUUUUAAAAAAAUUGAUGUUUCAACAGAAGUAAGACCCAUAAAAUUGGAGUCAGAUGCUGUUUAUACCAGCAACACAGGAGACUCUCUCCUAGUUGUGUCUCCACAGCUUAUUUCCUUCCCCAAUGCAGAGUGCAAAGAUUGCUACCUUUUACUGUGACUGUUACUACCUCCAAAUCAAGCUAGACAUCUAACAAAACCUUACUACUAAUAAAACUAAUAGAAGUUUUAGAAGACAUCUUUUCCACCUCUGAAUAUGCCCCUUAGCAUGUAUAUAUGACAACAUGGUCAACAGCAAUCUUCUAUCCACCAUGUUUCUAGAUUUCAACUCCUUUUCUCAUACGCAGAACUGUUUGAACAUAGCCUCUUACAGUAGGUAUUAAAAAUGACCAAGUUCUGGGGUUGGACAUGGCUCUCUCAAUAGUUUAACACUUGGCUACUGUAUGAAAAACCAAGUUUGAUCCCUGGGACCC